GCCGGGGUGGCGGAAUUGGCAGACGCGCGGGCCUUAAGAGCCUGUGAGGCAAUUGUCUUGUGGAGGUUCGAGUCCUCUCCCCGGCACCA
rnacentral:tRNA from 1 species